AUAUUUAAAAGUUAAUUUUAGUUUAACAAUGCCUAUUAAAAAUAAUAAAUCUGUUAAUGUUACAUGCUUCAUUUAAUUGUUACACUCAUAUUCUGUUAAUUAAUAGUAAGUAAAGUAAAUGUUUCAGAAAGGGUUUUACUAUGAAAUUGGGCUAUGAAAAGGUUUUAUUUUUAAAUGUGUUUGGUUUAACUGGUUAAGAAAAUGUGGUUUCUCUAACAGGAACAGUUUAAAUCUGAACUUCCUUAAAUUUUACAUUCAUAACACCACUUAUUUUGGCAGAUAUUGCUGGAGGAGUGGGGACAAUAGGAAAAGAACUUCUUGGUGGAGUUGGAAAUAUGGGUGAAGAUCUUCUAAGCCAAGCUGCUGAAGGCAUUGGAAACGCAGCCAAUGACCUGUUAGGUUUCUUGGGUGGUUUGGGUGGAGCUGGUGGAUCCAAAGAAAAAUCAUCGGUAACAGAAAGCUGAUUCUAAGAAGGAUUAAUAAACAAGCCUCAAGAAUUAUUAUUGAUAACUUUUUUUAAAAAAAUAUACUAGUGUUUCACAAUAAAAAAAUAAUUAAAAAAUU